ensembl:lncRNA
GGGGCGGGGCCGGAGCAGGCGGGGCGAGGGUGUGGAUUGGCUCCGGAGCGGGGGGAGUGUGCGCCUUGUGCACUUCUGCGUUUGUGUGAUCAAGCCUUAAGGAAACAGACUGGCCCUGGAGCUGGUGGCAGGCUCGUGCCCUUGACCACCAGGGCCUACCUCUGAGUACUCACUGCCUCAGAGCCUCCGGUCGGUCUUAGGGGUUGGGAUAGGUGAAGAGGCAGCCACGGGAGGUCCUGUGUGAACGUGCAGGGGUGCCUGUGAAGGUGCCUACAGCUGCCUGAUCAGGGUGUUGGCCUUGGCCACGUCAGUGUCACAGAGCUUCUUCACAGCCUGCUUAAUGUGAUGCUUAUUGGCCUUGACCUCCACGAUGAACAGUGUGCUGUUGUCUGUCUUCUUCACGGCUGACCCUGUGGUGGGGGAAACUGGAUGAUGGCGGUGUGGUCAAGCUUGGUUCUCCUGGGCGCUCCUCCGAGAAUAUCUGGGCUGCCUCCUGAGCCACAGUGUUUUGGGCCAGUGGAAGGUGGCUCAGACAGUAAAGAGUCUACCUGAAAUGAAGUAAACUCAGGUUCAACUCCUGGCUGUUGGAAGAUCUAGCAGUGGUUCUCAGUGAUGGCAGAACCGGAGGCAGAGGAGUUUAGGUCCAUGAAAAGCCUAAUGGGAGAUGCUUGCUGACCAGGGGUCCUCAUUGUUAUUUGUGUGAAUAAGAAAUAAACUGUUAUUGUGUUAAGCUCUUGAGAUUUGGGAUUUUGUUUGUUAUAGCUGCUAACACUGCUGACACCCAACUGAUAUCCUUGUCUUAAUUCUGACUCAAAUGUGAAUCCCUCUAGAUUAGAGUUGAGUGUUUUAUCAUUGAGUAUAAUGUUG